UAACGCGUGAGGAACCUGCCUUGCAGUGGGGAAUAACAGUUGGAAACGACUGCUAAUACCGCAUAAUGCAGAGAGACCGCAUGAUCUUUCUGCCAAAGAUUUAUCGCUGUAAGAUGGCCUCGCGUCUGAUUAGCUAGUUGGUGGGGUAACGGCCUACCAAGGCGACGAUCAGUAGCCGGACUGAGAGGUUGACCGGCCACAUUGGGACUGAGACACGGCCCAGACUCCUACGGGAGGCAGCAGUGGGGAAUAUUGGGCAAUGGGCGCAAGCCUGACCCAGCAACGCCGCGUGAAGGAAGAAGGCUUUCGGGUUGUAAACUUCUUUUAAGUGGGACGAUAAUGACGGUACCACUUGAAUAAGCUCCGGCUAACUACGUGCCAGCAGCCGCGGUAAUACGUAGGGAGCAAGCGUUAUCCGGAUUUACUGGGUGUAAAGGGCGUGUAGGCGGGACAGCAAGUCAGAUGUGAAAACUAUGGGCUCAACCCAUAGCCUGCAUUUGAAACUGUUGUUCUUGAGUGCUGGAGAGGCAAAUGGAACUCCUAGUGUAGCGGUGAAAUGCGUAGAUAUUAGGAAGAACACCAGUGGCGAAGGCGAUUUGCUGGACAGUAACUGACGCUGAUGCGCGAAAGUGUGGGGAGCAAACAGGAUUAGAUACCCUGGUAGUCCACACCGUAAACGAUGGAUACUAGGUGU
rnacentral:rRNA from 1 species